rnacentral:rRNA from 1 species
GACGAACGCUGGCGGCGUGCUUAACACAUGCAAGUCGAACGGAAAGGCCCUGCUUUUGUGGGGUGCUCGAGUGGCGAACGGGUGAGUAACACGUGAGUAACCUGCCCUUGACUUUGGGAUAACUUAAGGAAACUGGGGCUAAUACCGGAUAGGAGCUCCUGCUGCAUGGUGGGGGUUGGAAAGUUUCGGCGGGUGGGGAUGGACUCGCGGCUUAUCAGCUUGUUGGUGGGGUAGUGGCUGACCAAGGCUUUGACGGGUAGCCGGCCUGAGAGGGUGACCGGCCACAAUGGGACUGAGAUACGGCCCAGAGUCCUACGGGGGGCAGCAGGGGGGAAUAUUGCACAAUGGGCGGAAGCCGGAUGCAGCAACGCCGCGUGCGGGAUGACGGCCUUCGGGUUGUAAACCGCUGUCGCCUGUGACGAAGCGUGAGUGACGGUAAUGGGUAAAGAAGCACCGGCUAACUACGUG